rnacentral:sRNA from 1 species
AACCUUUCCCGAGGCAUUUCUUAAUUAAACAUUGCAAUCAAUCCAUUUCAUCGACAUGAAUUUUCGCAACAUUUUUCGGGCAAGCUUCGUCGUCUAAAUAUAUCUCAACAUUCGGGUGUUUGUGAAGUAAUGUGGCUGGAACAUCAACAGA